CUUGUGGCAAAAUGAAACCACUUAGUAUCUUACUUCUUUUUAAGAAAACUUAUGCUCAGAGUACUUACUCCAAGGUAAAAAUAAAGUGCCAUUUUCAUAAGGCAUGAAGGCCCAUCCUUGGGCCUUCACUUCAGAAUGGGCUCAGUGUCUUAUGGACAUAUGCCUGACUAAUGUCAAACCUGUCAGGAACUAAUCUGUUUCCCAUCCCUCUGUUUCUCCAUCUCUGUUGUUCCCAUUUGAGCAGAAGACUUUGUCAUCACAAAUCAGAAAUCUUUCAGAGACAGGUGUCAUGAAGAGAAUGAACAAAAGGAAGCAAUGUCCAGAAAGGAGAUGUUCAAGAAUCAAGCUCAGGACAGCAAUUACGUCUGAAUGACCAAAAUGCUACAGGAAAAGCAGCACCAAAAAAGACCUUGGAACAGGCUCGAACCAGCUUUGGGGUUUGGACUUGGACCAGAACCUCAGAGAGUAUGCACAAGGAAGCAAGGUGAAAAUUUUAAGUCUGAGGUACAGUGUUUACUUCCUCAGAAGAUGACUUUACUUCAUCCCAGAGACCCCGGCCCAUGACCACGAGGCGGCACUGCGCAGGCAUAAUAGAAUGAUAAGCUAAUUAUAAUACGAAGUGGAGACAGACGAUGAAUAUAUAUACGUGUAUUGUGUAAUUUGAUGCAUAUGUAAUUUGUAACCAGAUAUAUUUCAAGCUGAGUACCACAGCGGGUACACAUGGUUUUUUUGGGGCUACCCUCGAUGCGUCUGGCGGCGCAAUAAACAUACCUGCUUUACAACUUUUGAGUUGUAGAGUCUUUUCCACGUAUCAAUUAGACAGAAAACAAUGUGGGCUUUUAUUUUUGCUACAAUAGUCAGUGCAGACUGAGAUUAUGCUGGCACAAGAUGCAGGAGCUUCAUCUCCCUAAGAGUCUCUUUGGGCAUUAAAAACAGAGUAGUACAAAGAGCCUGAAAACAACAGCAGAGAGAUAGUUUGCAGGAGCAGUAGACAGUGCUGUAUCAAAUAACAAAUGGACUAUCAGGCUGGAGGCAAAUGGGGUAUUAGUUCAUUUUAUGUUGAAAACGAG
rnacentral:lncRNA from 13 species